GCGGAUUUAGCUCAGUUGGGAGAGCGCCAGACUGAAGAAUACACUUUAGUCAAGUAAUCUGGAGGUCCUGUGUUCGAUCCACAGAAUUCGCA
rnacentral:tRNA from 1 species